CCUACGGGAGGCUGCAGUGGGGAAUAUUGCACAAUGGGGGAAACCCUGAUGCAGCAACGCCGCGUGAGCGAUGAAGGCCUUCGGGUCGUAAAGCUCUGUCCUAAGGGAAGAAUACUGACGGUACCUUAGGAGGAAGCCCCGGCUAACUACGUGCCAGCAGCCGCGGUAAUACGUAGGGGGCUAGCGUUAUCCGGAAUUACUGGGCGUAAAGGGUGCGUAGGCGGCCCUUCAAGUCAGAGGUGAAAGGCUACGGCUCAAUCGUAGUAAGCCUUUGAAACUGUAGGGGUUGAGUGCAGGAGAGGAGGGUCGAAUACCCAGGCUCCCUUAGAAAGACGUAGUUAUUGGGAGGAACACCAGGUGAGAAGGCGGAUCUCUGGACUGUAAGUGACGCUGAGGGACGAAAGCGUGGGGAGCGAAAAGGAUUAGAUACCCGUGUAGUG
rnacentral:rRNA from 1 species